GACGAACGCUGGCGGCGUGCUUAACACAUGCAAGUCGAACGAUGAACCCGGAGCUUGCUCUGGGGGAUUAGUGGCGAACGGGUGAGUAACACGUGAGUAACCUGCCCUGGACUCUGGGAUAAGCGUUGGAAACGGCGUCUAAUACCGGAUAGGACCUUGGAUCGCAUGAUCUGGGGUGGAAAGUUUUUUCGGUCUGGGAUGGACUCGCGGCCUAUCAGCUUGUUGGUGAGGUAAUGGCUCACCAAGGCGUCGACGGGUAGUCGGCCUGAGAGGGUGACCGGCCACACUGGGACUGAGACACGGCCCAGACUGCUACGGGAGGCAGCAGUGGGGAAUAUUGCACAAUGGGCGAAAGCCUGAUGCAGCAACGCCGCGUGCGGGAUGACGGCCGUCGGGUUGUAAACCGCUUUCAGUAGGGAAGAAGGGCUUCGGCUUGACGGUACCUGCAGAAAAAGGACCGGCUAACUACGUG
rnacentral:rRNA from 1 species